CUGAAAGUAGUCCCUACUUGACCUUUGAUAUUUGCAUCUCUAUCCGCAUAUGACCCAAACGGAUAUCGUUUUUAUCUGUUGGCUUUAUCCUACCGAGAAACCUACACAUUAUAUGUCAUUAUAUGUGUAGGUUUCUCGGUAGGAUAAAGCCAACAGAUAAAAAUGAUAUCCGUUUGAGUCAUAUGCGGAUAGAGAUGCAAAUAUCAAAGGUCAAGUAGGGACUACUUUCAGUGUUUAGAAACAAACAUGGCGUUGCCCUCGUCAUUCGGCAAUCGAGUCAGAUUUAACCAUCGGGAAUCUGGAUAAACUACAUAGACUCAAAUCCCAAAACCAAUACCUGCAAACAGUGUGUCCCGACAGUCAGAUGUGACUCUUAUGCAGAAUGUUUGGUUGGACUAUGUAAUUAUUCCAGGUAUUCCUCAUUGCUGCAGCUUGGACUUGGCAGAUAUGGUUAAUGCCAUCAUGCAGUGUAUUUCAUAUCACAGAGGUGCUGAGUCCAAACUGCAGCAAUGAGGAAUAUCUGGAAAAAUUAUUAUCUUGAUUGUCUGAUUUUUACAAAAAUAAAUACUCUUUGAUAUUGCAUUUUAAUCUCCCAAAUUUUAUAUUCACAAUGUUGCCUUAUUAUUUUUUCAAUAAGAGUUAAAAUUAUUUCUUAUCUUGAUAUAACCUAUUGCAAAUUCCUUGUCACUUUCAUCCCACAGCCCAGAACCAAUACAUGCCUCUCCACCAGGUCACCAAGCAGAGUUACAACCCCUUAAAGCCCUUUCUCUCCCAUCUUGCUUCAACAGACGUUUCGAAGCCCAUUUCAUUAUUCUUUAACAUUGGACGCACAAUUUGUUGUUAUUGUAACAUGUUGGGCUAUCCUUUCUUUGAAGGUUCAUACAUAUGAUGCUGCCUCGAUUUGUUGUGUUGCUUUAUGCAUUUUUAUGAUUUUGUUCCCUUCUGGAGGGUGACACAAUCGCUCGUUGAUUACAGCGUUUUCAAUGGGUUGGCAUCGGACACGCCUUCAACUCAUGUAAUGUCUUUUCACCUUUACAGGGAGAAUUCAUGUGGAUUUUGAGAGGCUGCUUCUGUGAGUGGCAGAUGUUGUGAGCAUCUCUUUUAUCCCACACCUUGAUCAACCUUCUUUAUGGACAAGCAAAUCUGAAUACACAUGCGAUGGACCACAUCUCAAUGGAGUGUAUGUUAAAUACAAUCCAAAGAGCCAUUGUUGAGUGGUUUUCAGUAGGGAAUGUCGCUCCUCAUGUAGGCGGGGCAGACCUGUGAGUCUAGAAUACACUCUGUUUUGGGUAUCAUAUCAAUAUACGUCCAUUAAAGACAUCCACAAUCCCAAAACCUUGUGAUCUUGCCAGGGUUUUGCUCAAUGAGCAGAGAAGUCUUGCACAUCAACUAUCUGGAAUCUCACUGUGUAUGUACUUUGUUUGGUCAUAUACUGAGGGAAACAUUAAAUGCUUGUCUCGACGAAUGGUUGUCAUUGAGUGGGGUGAUAUAAAAACUUGAUCUAGCCGAUAUUGCAGUGGCAACAAGGACACCCAGCAUAGGAGUAGGUUCCUAAGCAAGCCUAGACUGACCCGUCCUACAGGCAUGUGGGACACUGACAUGAGUGCAGAAGAACCAUGCACGUGAACAGAGUUCACAAUAUUCUCACAUGCAAAAACGCGGCAGAUAAAGCAAGAGAUUCAGUUCCCUCUCAUCACCUGGUUGUUGACUCUACAGGGUUGGGAGGACUUCUACACCACAAUGGCACACUACAUCCACAAGAUGGGAUCAACCCACUCCAGUCCUAUAUUGGACAGGAAGUUCAAGUUUUACAGGUUGAUCACCAGUUUGUCACUGGAGGCCAGAGCUUAUCACAUUCCAGGCAUCAGCAGUGUGUUGACAGACGAGCUGUUAAGGCAAGGACUGUCCACUUCAAAGACAGACUGCAUCCAGGCAUCAGCAGUGUGUUGACAGACGAGCUGUUAAGGCAAGGACUGUCCACUUCAAAGACAGACUGCAUCCAGGCAUCAGCAGUGUGUUGACAGACAAGCUGUUAAGGCAAGGACUGUCCACUUCAAAGACAGACUGCAUCCAGGCAUCACCAGUGUGUUGACAGACAAGCUGUUAAGGCAAGGACUGUCCACUUCAAAGACAGACUGCAUCCAGGCAUCACCAGUGUGUUGACAGACAAGCUGUUAAGGCAAGGACUGUCAACUUCAAAGACAGACUGCAUCCAGGCAUCAGCAGUGUGUUGACAGACGAGCUGUUAAGGCAAGGACUGUCCUCUUCAAAGACAGACUGCAUCCAGGCAUCACCAGUGUGUUGACAGACGAGCUGUUAAGGCAAGGACUGUCCACUUCAAAGACAGACUGCAUCCAGGCAUCACCAGUGUGUUGACAGACAAGCUGUUAAGGCAAGGACUGUCCACUUCAAAGACAGACUGCAUCCAGGCAUCACCAGUGUGUUGACAGACGAGCUGUUAAGGCAAGGACUGUCCACUUCAAAGACAGACUGCAUCCAGGCAUCACCAGUGUGUUGACAGACGAGCUGUUAAGGCAAGGACUGUCCACUUCAAAGACAGACUGCAUCCAGGCAUCAGCAGUGUGUUGACAGACGAGCUGUUAAGGCAAGGACUGUCCACUUCAAAGACAGACUGCAUCCAGGCAUCACCAGUGUGUUGACAGACGAGCUGUUAAGGCAAGGACUGUCCACUUCAAAGACAGACUGCAUCCAGGCAUCACCAGUGUGUUGACAGACGAGCUGUUAAGGCAAGGACUGUCCACUUCAAAGACAGACUGCAUCCAGGCAUCAGCAGUGUGUUGACAGACGAGCUGUUAAGGCAAGGACUGUCCACUUCAAAGACAGACUGCAUCCAGGCAUCACCAGUGUGUUGACAGACGAGCUGUUAAGGCAAGGACUGUCCACUUCAAAGACAGACUGCAUCCAGGCAUCACCAGUGUGUUGACAGACGAGCUGUUAAGGCAAGGACUGUCCACUUCAAAGACAGACUGCAUCCAGGCAUCACCAGUGUGUUGACAGACAAGCUGUUAAGGCAAGGACUGUCCACUUCAAAGACAGACUGCAUCCAGGCCUGUCUUUCUUGAUGUGCCAAGAGAGUUGUCAUGAGAUUUAAACACUAGCUUCAAGUAUUCGUGUCAUCAGUCUCCGAUCCACCACUAACUUGUAUACCAACCAUCUUACAUGCAGGAUUGGAUCCACCUGGUGCUCAUAAUCUACAUCAGACUUACUCUGAUUAAACAAAUAUAAAGCAUGCCCUGCCCUACCACCAUCUCAACGUUUUUCAACUGACCGGGAGAGGAUUUUGAUAUUUUGGACCCCUUCCCUUUUCAGAAUGCUGAAUCUGCCCUUGCUUUUAGUGGCUUUCAGAUGAGAGGAAAGUUAGGGUUCAAGGGUAGGUAACUCUGAUCUGUGAAAUGGCAGAGAGACAUGUUUGGGGUUCUGUGUUAACAGAUCGAAGAGAAGAAAUUUGCAUUAGGCUCUAUUACAAACAUACUUAUCUGCUCUUGAUUUGCAUGCGCUAAGCAGUAUAUUUUUAGGCAAACAUAACGUUGGUGCGUAAACACUCCAGUUGCUUAUAACUCUAUUUUCACUGUUGGAAUAGUGCAGAUAAGCCUUGUUAUCGUUCACAAAAACUUAAAAUAUCUCCAUGCCAUCUUCUUAUCUUGAAUAUUUAGAUUGUUUUACAAAUAAUGUCUUUUGACUAAGGUACAGAAAUAUGGCUAUCUAUUGCCAAAUUAAACAUGUUUCAAUUUGCCAACACCCUCUGUCAUAUGCUCUCUUGCCGCCUUGCAAUGAUGUAUUAUUAAAUGUUCAUCUAGUGCCUUAUUGAUUUAGAUAGUUUUAUAUUGCAUAUUUUUAUCAGAUUUCCCUUUCAUGUGAAGAAAGGUAUUGUUUCAUGCUGUAUGUACUAGUCUGGGGCUGUGUACAUUUGUAUGGUUAUACCUGUUUAUAAUAGGGCUGUCCCUAAUGUUAGACUUAAAGAACAUCAUUUCAAAAUUACAGCUGAAAACAACAAAUUGGUCAAGUACACAGCUAAUCUCUUGCCACUUCUACUCAAUGAAUUUAUUUUUUUUAAUGUUUUGUUCUCAUCUUAAAAUCUUAACCAUGUUCAUUUAGAAUCACACUGAUGCAAAAUACCCUUUUGGUGUGGCAUGAGUGGCCAGUUGACAAAGUAUUUAACAUUUGUUGUAAUUUGUGCAAUUUGCAAUCAAACCAACUUUACAUUACAAAUUGAGACGUAGUUUACAGCAACAAGAUAUUCUAUUAAUUAUAUUGUUAUUUAUGCACUUUGCUAGCAAAUUACAUAUGAAAUUGUCACCAUCAUCAUACAAUGGGGAAACAUGCCAAGUGAGUUUCAUUACAGUUACAGUUUUUUAACCACUGUGUUGACCUGAAAACAUUUCCCACAUUGAUUAAUUUAAAAUCACAAACCCUAAUGAAAUCCUAUCUAGAUAGUCACACCAGGUGAUUGUUAAGAUCACACACACUAUCACAGUCCAACAUCUCAGAUAAUUUUGUGUAUAUUAAUUAAAUGUUAGGACUUUAGAUAGAGGUAUUACAGUUUGGUUAAAUUAGUAUAUUAGCUUGCUUGGUGUUGUUGUUUGAUACUGUCAGGUAAUACUAUGGGACAGGUUAGAUAUCAGCGAACUAUGACAAGGUACUGCUGAUAGCUGGGAGUUAAUUGGUGUAACAAUAGGGAGGUCAGGGCAGCUUGGGUAAUUGGGGGGUGGGGGGCAGUUUAAAUACCAGGGCAAGGUAAUAAUUUUCAGUCAGCCAGAAUUAGUAGGUUGUUCUGACAAGGCAUGGACUGACAUUGUGCAAGGUUUUCACCCUGGUUGGCGUAAGUCUUUUCAUUUAUUUGUUUCAUGUAGGAUUGUAUAUGUUGAGGAUAGAAUUUUAAAUUAUGUAUUGGUUUUUUAUGUGAUUAUAUGCAUAUAUUGAUUGGAAUAACGAGAAGCCACUCAAAAAACAACCCAAAACAACACAGUGAAAUGUAAAUGGGAGUAUUGACGUAUUGUUGUAUGUAUUGUAAGGUAUUGACACGUGCCUCAGUGACUGUAGUUGCAGAUAUUAUAUUGUAGUGUCCUGGAACUGGGUGGUCGGUCAUCCUUGCAAUAACAAGGAGGAAGUUUAUGUAUAUUCAUUUUCAUAUUUAACAACUUUGUAGUUUCCCCCAGAUGUAUAAUUAGUGGUACACAUGUUGGAAGAACACCUUCUUAAAACAUCCGGACUUCCCCACCAAACAUCCUCUUUUUAAUUCUUACAACAAAUAAGAGUGGAGUGUGGGGCAAAUACAAAUUCACACUAUUUUCAAUCAUUUGUCCCUCAUCAUGACAAUAUUUUAAUUUUUGGACAGUCCUUAAUCAUGUUUUCAUUUAAUUAUUGAUCUGCAUCCCUUGUGUUCUAAGAAAUAUUUAUUGCCAUUAGCUGUGAUGCAUAGCCUAAACAACUAUAGACAAUUGCUUUUCCAUGAUUGUGAUAGUGUAUCUCACAUAACUCUUGACUACUUUCUUUACCAUCAUAUGGUAUGGCAUAUUUAGCAUUGUAAAUUUCACCAUUUCGAUGGAAAUUAUUUGCAAUGAACUUUGUAAAUUGAGAAUACUAAUAUUGAACGAAACUUUGGUGGGUUAUAACUGUUCGCCUCUCAUGAUUUUCUUAAUAUUAUUUCAUAUAAUACAGAAAUCAUAUUUGCAAUUGUAAGUUGUCUCUGUGAGUGGCUGGCUUUUUUUCUAUGUAUUUCGGUGGUUUCUUGAAGUUUCCUUCUUUACCAGUGAUUGAUGUAGUAUGGAGACAGGAUGGUCAGGAUGUUGUAUAUUUCUACGUUAAUCCAAUCUCAUGUGAACACAUCAGCAUGUAUAUAUAUUUACUCAAUAUGGGUCAUCAAGAAAAGGGACCCUGAAUUUGUUGAUACAAAGGAAAAUGCACUUGUCAUCCAUGAAAAAGUGUCACAUAUUCAUCAUCUGUCAUGUUUUGUUUCUAAUAUAGCUAGCUAGGUCCUUGAAGUGGACAUUUGUCUGGAAGACAACGCUGUCUAAUGUCCCUGAGGGGUUUCUAAUAUACUCCAGGUGGUAUCAGGUUAAGAAUACCGAUACAAUAAAUAUUCUGAUUUAUAUAAUAUCCCAAAUGGGGCCUUUACACAGGAUGGCGACCUUCGUGCCUCCAGUGUUCGACCAUAAAAUUUGCCAGGUCAUCGUUGGAGGCUCAAAGGAGGCAGAAUGGUUGCCUAGGUCGUUCAAAGGUGGUACACAGGAUUUUCAGACAUCACCAUGGACGCCGUGAAUUUUUGAACAUGUUCAAAACAGUCGCACAAAGGUCGCCGAAGACAUUGGUUGUUCAAAGGUGGCUCAAAGGAGGCACAAGCAUUGCCGUUGUUGCAGAAUGAAGGCACAGUGGUCGCCCAAUUGUCGCCAGGUAAUUUUCCCCGUCAAUCUGGGUGAUGCUUCUGCCUCCCUUGUGCCUCCUUUGGGCGACCAACAGCGUGCAUUGAACGAUGACUGUGGCGACAGCCGUGCCUCAAUUCGGCGAGCACGGCAACCAUUGAGACACCAUGGCAAUGCUUCUGCCUCUUUUCUGCCUCCUUUGGUUUACAUGUAAUGCCUCCUCAGCCUGCCUAUAAAUAGAGGGCUUGUAUCUGCAGUGUUGCAGACGCUUAACAACUCCUGGAGCAGUUACAUAGAAUCAGAAUUUUCUGGGUUUAGGCGACCAUUGAACAUCCCGGCCAGUUUUUGAUUGCUCAAAGGUGGCACAAAGGUCGCAGCCCUGUGUAAAGGGGGCUUAAGUUGUUAACUUUAUCAUUGUGCAUUGACAAGUGAAAUUUGUUAUCUGAGCAACAUGUAGUGUUAAUAUGUUACUCUUUGCACUACAUUCAGGAUUUGUAUUCUUACUGGAUCUUUGCACUUACUUUGACCACAGCAUUUUGCCAAUAACAAGUGAAACUCUGCAAGUACUUGCAACAAUAGAAGCAGUCACAAGGUCAAAGAAUCAUUACAUAUCGGAAGAACGCAGGAAGGUUUUAAGAACAUCCAGGCGCCAUUCAUGUGCUGAUGUAAUGUCAAGAUGAAAACUCCUGCUUGUUUUGCGAUCUUAAAUAGAACUCGCUUCACUGCAUGACAGUACCAUUCUGAACAUUGUGUACAAAUGCAAAUAAAUCAUUCAAUAUA